ensembl:lncRNA
GACCUUUACUACAGUCUCUGAGAAGAUGGACACCUCUUCUUCUUCUGGACGAUCUCCGUCUCCUACUGGGACUGUCUUCUUACCCCCUCCUAUCAUGUGGAACAGUCUCUACAAGCAGGCAGAGAUGGAGUUUCAGUUCCUGAGAGAAGAGAAGAAGACCUGUACAACGAAGGAAGCCCACAUGCUUGAGUUGAGAGGGAAGGAUCGAACGAUCCGAAAUCAGAAGAAGGAGAUGGACAGACUUCAAGUCUGCCUCUGGGAGGAGGAAAAGAAGAAGAGCAAUGAUGGAACGGAGAAGGACAAGAUCAUUGAACAUCUACAGUCUGAGACAGACCAUCUCAGAUCCCUUUUAAAAGAGGAAAGGAGGAAAAGAAGAGUAGAAAGGGGUCUAAUGAAUGAGUGGAAGGCUGAGAUCCUGAGACUGAGGGAGUCAGAGAGCCAGAGAGAGGCAGAGAGCCAGAGGGAGGCAGAGAGACAGAGGGAGUCAGAGAGCCAGAGAGAAGCAGAGAGACAGAGGGAGGCAGAGAGACAGAGGGAGGCAGAGAGACAGAGAGAAGCAGAGAGACAGAGAGAAGCAGAGAGACAGAGAGAAGCAGAGAGACAGAGGGAGGCAGAGAGAGUCACAGAAGCGAUGGAGAACCAGAGAAAAAUGCAGGAGAUCAAGAGAGUCAAACAUCUGCUGGAGCUACUGAUGGUGGAUCUACAACUGGCCCACGUAAGACAUGUCAUUGUUAUUAUUAAAAGGCAGUGUAUAUUCACCCAGCUGAAAAUGAAUGACGGUGGACAGCGGUACACUAACCCAAUGUUAACUUUUAUGCCUUUCCUUAACAUUAACCCUUACCUUGACCUCACUGAAACUAUACCUAACCUUUACCUUAACCCAACCCUAGGUCCUGAACCUAACCUUCAUUUAUCUCAACCCCUAUGCCUUUCUUCUGCCGGUUGAAUAUCCACUUCCUUAUUAACAUCAUUACUGUUGUUGUUGUUGAUAACUGUAUGUGUGCAGGUUGUAAAUAAUUGCAUUAGUGAAACAUCAUUUGUAGGAGUAAUUUCUGCAAGCAUAAACAUCAGAGGCAACAUUGUUAUAACAUCACACAAAUUGCAACGGGAAUUUCUCAAACCGCUAACUGAAUGGGCAAGCUAGUUGUGUGUUUGUAUUUGUCCAUAAAAUGUCUCGUAAUUUUUUCAAACAUGUCAAUACAUUAAUUGACAAUGAAUUGUCCAGAUGAAUUGAUCAAAAUAACCCUGCUAUUGAUGUUGUCCAGUGUUUGAUUCAAUUACCUAGGUCUAGGUUGUAUUUCUAUGUAUCAUUCUCUGCAAAUCCUUUGAAAGUAUGUCUUGGUCAUAGAUUAUCACUAAUUUCACCUUUUAAAAUGAAGCAAGAGAUAGAGAGAUUGAGGCUAUGGCAGAAAGUCAUGGAGGAUCAGCGACCAAGACUGGCCUGGAACAACAAACCUAUUGAGACAGAAAGAGAGAGGGAAAGAGAGAGG